AGCAGUAUGGUGUAAUCAAGCACACGGACUCUCUAUAAGGCGACACAGAAAAAGAACAAGAAAAUAUGAAUCCCCGAGGUCCUUGUUCGACUCAAGGUACUGCUC